rnacentral:rRNA from 1 species
UAAGGAAUAUUGGGCAAUGGAGGAAACUCUGACCCAGCCAUGCCGCGUGCAGGAUGACGGCCCUACGGGUUGUAAACUGCUUUUGUCAGGGAAGAAACCCCUUUACGUGUAGAGGGUUGACGGUACCUGAAGAAUAAGGAUCGGCUAACUCCGUGCCAGCAGCCGCGGUAAUACGGAGGAUCCAAGCGUUAUCCGGAUUUAUUGGGUUUAAAGGGUGCGUAGGCGGCUUAUUAAGUCAGAGGUGAAAGCCCGGAGCUUAACUCCGGAACUGCCUUUGAUACUGAUGAGCUUGAAUAUAGUUGAGGUGGGCGGAAUGUGUCAUGUAGCGGUGAAAUGCUUAGAUAUGACACAGAACACCAAUUGCGAAGGCAGCUCGCUAAACUAUUAUUGACGCUGAGGCACUAAAGCGUGGGGAUCAAACAGGAUUAGAUACCCCUGUAGUCC